GGUUAAGCGACUAAGCGUACACGGUGGAUGCCCUGGCAGUCAGAGGCGAUGAAGGACGUGCUAAUCUGCGAUAAGCGCCGGUAAGGUGAUAUGAACCGUUAUAACCGGCGAUUUCCGAAUGGGGAAACCCAGUGUGACUCGUCACACUAUCAUUAACUGAAUCCAUAGGUUAAUGAGGCGAACCGGGGGAACUGAAACAUCUAAGUACCCCGAGGAAAAGAAAUCAACCGAGAUUCCC
rnacentral:rRNA from 1 species